UUUCUUUCUCUCUUUAUGAUAUAAACAGGAUGCAGCAGAGUUCAAAUGAAGACAAUGGGACCUUCCCAGUGAUAAAACGGAAAGUGAGUCGAGUGAAAUGAGAUGGAAUGGAAUGGAACAGAAAAGAAAGAGAAGGGAAAUAGAGAACGCUGCAAGUAACAGGGGGAAAAAAUUACAUAAGAAAGAAGAAGAUUGUUACAAGAGGCUUUAGAAGGAACAGAAAAAAGUGUCAAUCCUAAAUAUGUGCCCAGGCAGGGAGGAACUCCACCAACAUGUCUGCAAGAAGCCAAGGGAGUGCCCAGCACCAACGCAAACAAGCAUGCC